rnacentral:snRNA from 1 species
UGAAUAAGAGAAACUAUCU